AAGACCUCUUCUCUUCCACCUUGACUGGUCCCCACUGUUACAUCACUUCUCAGCUUACCUGCAUAGUCCUGCCUCCAACUAUUUGGACAAACUUUUUCCUGUCAAACCAACCAGACAAGACCUCACCCUGGACUACUUCGCCAACUGCACAGCAACUCUCCCUUUGAGACGAUAAACCUGCCACAAGAACUGGACAUGAGACGGAUGUGCUUUUCCCAUGACACUUCCAGAAGACAACUCAACAGCAUCCUCCUCCAAAAUUUCCAGUACCAAAGACUGCCCCAUGAUGAUGUCCCAAUUCAGCCAGCACAAUCCUAUGAAAACGACGUCCACCCGGCUAACAGCUCUCUGGAAACUACACCAAAGUCUCACCCAUGGCGCUCCCAUCUGUUUCUCAUUUUUACAAAACACAAAGCAAGAAUAUUAGCUUAAUUAUUCAGUUCUGUCCCCCAUUGACUGCCUUAGCAAUACCCUGACCCCCACAACCACCUGCCAGCUAAUAUUUUCUGUAGUGAACAGUGGUCCAACCACAAGCUCAGCUUCCCUAGCAACCCUAAUAAUGGCUGACUACAAACUUCUUACCUCCCCGAUGCCCCACUUACAUUUUCUCUCACCCAGCCCUAUAAUUACCCCAGCUAUAAGAGGUACGGGGAGCCCUAGUUCUUGUAGGAGACACCCCCUUCCAGGUGCUUCCCCCACCCGAGGCUGUGCUGAUGUUGUAUCUAUCAUCCCUUGUCUUGUCCUUCUAAUUCCAAAUCUGACAGAACAGAGGUCACGCUAGGGGAGUGCCCCUCCCAGCUUCCCAUCCACCUCCCUGAAGCCAGCAGCAGCUCAGGGGACAGGUGGGGCAUUUCCCUCCCUGAUGAUGUAGUUACAGUCACCAUGGGAGCAAGGGUGGGAUGCCACCUGGUGAGCCAUUCCAGUAGGGAAGGUGUUUCCCAGGCUAGGUCUUUUGGGUGGGUCUCUCUACCAUAGGGGUCUCUGCUGCAGAAAGCCUGAGUCAGCUGCCACCACUGCGCCAUAGCUCUCUCCUCGGCUGGCCUGGCACAUCAGCGUGGCAGGCAGUGCCCUGAGGAGGUAUAGAUGACUGGAGGAGCUGCCCCUGAAGUCUUUCCAUGGGUGACACCUUCUCUGGACAGGAAGCUGUGCAUCCCUGGGUGUUCUUCAGAAUCACAG